rnacentral:rRNA from 1 species
UACGUAGGGUGCAAGCGUUGUCCGGAAUUAUUGGGCGUAAAGCGUGCGCAGGCGGUUUUGUAAGUUUGUCGUGAAAGCCCCGGGCUCAACCUGGGAAUUGCGAUGAAGACUGCAAGGCUUGAAUCUGGCAGAGGGGGGUAGAAUUCCACGUGUAGCAGUGAAAUGCGUAGAGAUGUGGAGGAACACCGAUGGCGAAGGCAGCCCCCUGGGUCAAGAUUGACGCUCAUGCACGAAAGCGUGGGGAGCAAACAGG